UACGUAGGGUGCAAGCGUUGUCCGGAAUUAUUGGGCGUAAAGAGCUCGUAGGCGGCUUGUCGCGUCGGCUGUGAAAACCCGGGGCUCAACCCCGGGCGUGCAGUGGAUACGGGCUGGCUAGAGGCAGGCAGGGGAGAACGGAAUUCCCGGUGUAGCGGUGAAAUGCGCAGAUAUCGGGAGGAACACCUGCGGUGUAGACGGCUUUCUGGACCAUUGUUGACGCUGAGACACGAAAGCGUGGGUAGCAAACAGG
rnacentral:rRNA from 1 species